rnacentral:rRNA from 1 species
UACGGAGGGUGCAAGCGUUAAUCGGAAUUACUGGGCGUAAAGCGCACGUAGGUGGUUUGUUAAGCUAGCUGUGAAAUCCCCGGGCUCAACCUGGGCACUGCAGUUAGAACUGGCAAGCUAGAGUAGGGUAGAGGGGUGUGGAAUUCCAGGUGCAGCGGUGAAAUGCGUAGAUAUCUGGAGGAACAUCAGUGGCGAAGGCGACACCCUGGACUCAUACUGACACUGAGGUGCGAAAGCGUGGGGAGCAAACAGG